ACUUUUUUUUUUUUUUUUUUUAAACAAUAAAUUUCUAAUUCUUCAGUUGCAGGGAAAAGCCUGAAAAUGUUAUCCAAAUGUACUGUGAGGCUCAGAAACCAGAUGCCAAAUGAUGAGAAGCCAAACUGGAUUGCCAUUUUUAAAUCUCUGAAGUUUUAAGGCAAUCUAAGCCUGCUCUGGGUCUUUGCUCGUGUUUUCGGAGAACAGAGGAGGUUGGCAUUAAAUAAAGCUUCUCUUUACAAAGAGGUGAAGGAAAAUAAGAACUUGAGAACAUAUUCUCUGUUGCUCAUCUCCUCCAUGUGCUUUCUGAUUCUUAUCCUGCAUCUGCUUAGCUUUCCACAUGGUGACCAGUCACGUUCCUCACAGUGGUAGAGAAAAGCACACACAUAAAUCUUUGCUGGAAUGGAGCAAAUUUUAAAUCAAAUUUUCACAAACAAAUAAGAUCAAGGUUUUAAGCUCUUCCAUCUGUGACUGUGCGCUCGGUGUAGGGCGCAAUGUGCUCUGGGCCUGGGCAGGCAGUUUGUGACACUCAGUGCUACUGUAACACAGCAACCAUUGCUGCUGCAGCUACUACCAAUAAAACGGAUUUGUUAAUGUUGCGAUUGUGAUCAUCUGCUUAGAAAGGUGCUUUAAAGCUUCGGUAGGCUCUUCUUGCACUGUGGUGCUGCAAACCAGCUAUUUCCACAUUGUAAAAGGAACUGGACGGCAGAAAGUGAUAAACAUUACUGAUUUUGUGUUUCUUUUACUUCCUUAUUGCUUCUGCACUGACCCAUUUAACUUCUGCCAUUAUUUCCCACUGACGGUGUGCUGUGUCAGCCUGCAGCUGGCUGCCUAUGGGACGGCAUUCAGUUUGGUGUGUUCCAAGGCAGAUGACGCUGGUUUACAUUUGCUCAUGUCAAAGGCACUGCAUGCUACAGACAGAGCAGACCGAAACCAACAGAAUGCUUCACAGACAGUGAUGGAGAGCGAAAAUGCAAAAGAACAACUGCAGCAUCUUUUCCAAGCAUGGGAGAAGGGGCAUACUGGAAAGAGAAGAGCCUUCGUGAGUAAAAAUUAAAGAAUAAUUCUAAAAUGGUUGUACUUUACAGAGGAAAGCAACUAAGACUUUAGGUAAUGAAUUUGCUGGUGAAUUAAUAUCAAGUAUGUGAGAACAGCCGCAAGGUCAUACUUGGCAGGGAGCUGGC
rnacentral:lncRNA from 1 species